AUGUAGAACCCCAGUGCCGUGCAGCCAGGGCCAAAUCCAUAUCCCCCCAACAUCGGGUACCCUGGAGGUUCCAGUCCUGCCCACCUACCACCUGUGUAUCCACCCUUUCCUUCUCCCCCAGGAGCUCCCCAGAGCAAUCCAGGUGGGCCCCCUCCUCCUGUGCCACAGCAAGGGUAUCCAGGAUGCCAACCCUCAGGUCCCUACCCUGUUCCAUACCCACUGCUUGCCCGUGGAAUGCCUCCUAUGAAUCCCUUGGCUCCUGGCAUGGUCAGAGCAGCAGUGAUAGUGGACAAGAAGCUGCAGAAGAAAAUAAAGAAAGCUCAUAAAAAGAUGCACAAGCAUGGCAAGCAUUCCUUCUCCUCUUCCUCCUCCUUUUCCAGUAGUGACUGAGUAGAGGCCCUGGACUCUUCCCUCAAGUCUCAACAGUUCCGCUCUCCCAUCAAACUUCAGAUGCCAUGCUGUACUGGGGGAAAGUAGCCCUUGUGCUCCCCACCCCUACCCCAACCUGAGCCUCACCCUACUCUUCAGCCCUCAGUGGCUAGGGAAAAUGGGAAGAGGAUUGCCAUGGCAUGGCCAUCUUCUGGCUGCUUGGAUAUAUCAUAUAGCUAUUGAGUUUAGCAGGGGAGCUAUUUUUUGAAGAUGAUGAACUAAAUGUUGAAGACAAGUUUGAGAUCUGUAAAAUGUGAUUUUUUUACUUCCUCUUAUAAUACUUGUGAUUGGGGAGGUUUGUGGAAAUUUAUGAUGAAAAACCUCUAUCUUUUUUGUAAUGUUGGCAUACUUGGGGAAUUUAGUGGCAAAUACAUUCCCCAGCAGGCCUUUUGUUGGUUGUACUAACUGCAAGGUUUCUGGGAAGUGAAAAAAAAAAGAAAUCGAAGAGGAGAUAUCAAGUAGAAAAUCUGGUAUGUAAGUGUGGAAUUCAUAGAAGUUGGGCUGGGAUAAAAAAACUGGAGUCAACAAACGAUAUUUAGAGUCAUGAGACAGAUUAAGGAAGAGUGGAAGAAAGAAACAGAAAAGAAGCAGUUGUUGAGUUAAGAGGAAAACUGAUAGAGUCAAGUGAAGAGAUUGUUUUGAAAAGGAGAGUAAUGGAUUAUGUCAAAUGCUGCUACAAGGUCAAGUCAAAUGAGGACUGAUAAUUGUCAUUGGAUUUAGCAGUGCUCACAGUCAUGACAAACAGUUUUGGUGGAGUGUUGUAAUUGGAGUAAUUUAAGAAAAAAUUGGAAGAAACAAAUUGGGCACACAUGUAGACAACUUUUUCAAAAAGCUUUGAAGUGUAGAGGGACUAAAGUAUAGAGUUAGGAAUGGUGGCUUAAUCAAGGUGACAUGUUAGCCAGAAUAGAGAUUUUUGAAGCCAGAGAGAGCAAGAAAGUUGAGAGUGUAUGUGAGAAAUGGUUAUAAAAAUACAGGAUUAAAAUGGUUAUUUCUUCUGUUACUGAGGUUAAGCAUCCUUUUACAUGUUUAUUGGCCAUUCAUUUUUGUGUGUGUGAAUUACCUGUGCAUAUUCUUAUUGGGUGGUUCAUCUUUUCCUUAUGAGUGUUUACAAAUUCUCUAUAUAAUAAAGAUGUCAGCCUUUA